AUUGAACGCUGGCGGCAUGCUUUACACAUGCAAGUCGAACGGCAGCGCGGGGCAACCUGGCGGCGAGUGGCGAACGGGGGAGUAAUAUAUCGGAACGUACCCAAGAGUGGGGGAUAACGUAGCGAAAGUUACGCUAAUACCGCAUACGACCUGAGGAUGAAAGUGGGGGAUCGCAAGACCUCAUGCUUCCGGAGCGGCCGAUAUGGGAGUAGCUAGUUGGUGAGGUAAAGGAGAACCAAGGCUACGAUCAGUAGCUGGUCUGAGAGGACGACCGGCCACACUGGAACUGAGACACGGUCCAGACUCCUACGGGAGGCAGCAGUGGGGAAUUUUGGACAAUGGGCGCAAGCCUGAUCCAGCAAUGCCGCGUGAGUGAAGAAGGCCUUCGGGUUGUAAAGCUCUUUUGUCAGGGAAGAAACGGUCUCAGCUAAUAUCUGGGGCUAAUGACGGUACCUGAAGAAUAAGCACCGGCUAACUACGUGCCAGCAGCCGCCGUAA
rnacentral:rRNA from 1 species